GAUGAACGCUGGCGGCGUGCCUAAUACAUGCAAGUCGGACGCAUAGCGAAAGGUGCUUGCACCUUUCAAGUGAGUGGCGAACGGGUGAGUAACACGUGGACAACCUGCCUCAAGGCUGGGGAUAACAUUUGGAAACAGAUGCUAAUACCGAAUAAAACUUAGUGUCGCAUGACACAAAGUUAAAAGGCGCUUCGGCGUCACCUAGAGAUGGAUCCGCGGUGCAUUAGUUAGUUGGUGGGGUAAAGGCCUACCAAGACAAUGAUGCAUAGCCGAGUUGAGAGACUGAUCGGCCACAUUGGGACUGAGACACGGCCCAAACUCCUACGGGAGGCUGCAGUAGGGAAUCUUCCACAAUGGGCGAAAGCCUGAUGGAGCAACGCCGCGUGUGUGAUGAAGGCUUUCGGGUCGUAAAGCACUGUUGUAUGGGAAGAACAGCUAGAAUAGGAAAUGAUUUUAGUUUGACGGUACCAUACCAGAAAGGGACGGCUAAAUACGUG
rnacentral:rRNA from 1 species